ACGGGGGGUGCAAGCGUUGUCCGGAAUCACUGGGCGUAAAGGGCGGGUAGGCGGACCGGUAAGUCCGGAGUGAAAUCUGGCGGCUCAACGCCCAAACCGCCUUGGAUACUGGUGGUCUAGAGUCCGAGAGAGGAGAGUGGAAUUCCGGGUGUAGCGGUGAAAUGUGUAGAUAUCCGGAGGAACACCAGUGGCGAAGGCGGCUCACUGGGUCGAUACUGACGCUGAGGUGCGAAAGUGUGGGGAGCAAACAG
rnacentral:rRNA from 1 species